UUCUUCACAUAAAGCAGCAGCAGCAACAACAACAACAACAAUAGAAAAAGCAAAGAAAAAAAACGGUUCUUCCUCCCUCAUUGAACAGCGUCGACGACGAUGGUGGCAGUGACACCCACCGAUGCCGUUGCCCUCUCCUCCUUCUCCGAUCUCUUGCGCGCUCUCUUCUUUCCAGACCAGCGACAACGACAACGAUGGACUCAAUCAAUGGCGGCGACAGACGUGACGGAGCCGGCAGCAACAGGGCGCGACAGCAGCGAUAGCUCUCCCUUUCUUGGUUUUGGUUCGCAUCUCCUUUUCGGGCUCCCUCAACAACGGCGACGAUGAUGCGAUAGCGGCAGCGAGUCCCCACGUUGCCAGUGCGGUCUCCCUCUUCCUCCUCUUCUCUUCUUCUUCCUCGAGUAGGGGUGUGUGUGUAAUGUCUCUGUGUGUGGGUUUUGGAGGAAAAGGGGGUGGUGGCUGGGUGAAG
rnacentral:lncRNA from 1 species